rnacentral:rRNA from 1 species
UACGAAGGGGGCUAGCGUUGUUCGGAAUUACUGGGCGUAAAGCGCACGUAGGCGGAUAUUUAAGUCAGGGGUGAAAUCCCGGGGCUCAACCCCGGAACUGCCUUUGAUACUGGGUAUCUGGAGUAUGGAAGAGGUGAGUGGAAUUCCGAGUGUAGAGGUGAAAUUCGUAGAUAUUCGGAGGAACACCAGUGGCGAAGGCGGCCCACUGGUCCAUUACUGACGCUGAUGCGCGAAAGCGUGGGGAGCAAACAGG